rnacentral:rRNA from 1 species
AUACGGAUGGUGCGAGCGUUGUUCGGAAUUACUGGGCGUAAAGGGCGCGUAGGCGGCGAUGUAAGUCAAAUGUGAAAGUCCUCGGCUUAACCGGGGAAGUGCAUCUGAAACUGCAUUGCUUGAGUAUGGGAGAGGAAAGUGGAAUUCCCGGUGUAGAGGUGAAAUUCGUAGAGAUUGGGAGGAAUACCGGUGGCGAAGGCAACUUUCUGGACCAAUACUGACGCUGAGGCGCGAAAGCGUGGGGAGCAAACAGGAUUAGAUACCCUAGUAGUCC